rnacentral:rRNA from 1 species
UACGUAGGGUGCAAGCGUUAUCCGGAAUUAUUGGGCGUAAAGAGCGUGUAGGCGGCCAGACAAGUCUGCUGUGAAAACUCGAGGCUCAACCUCGAGCUGUCGGUGGAAACUGUCUGGCUAGAGUCCGGAAGAGGAGAGUGGAAUUCCUGGUGUAGCGGUGAAAUGCGCAGAUAUCAGGAAGAACACCUAUGGCGAAGGCAGCUCUCUGGGACGGUACUGACGCUGAGACGCGAAAGCGUGGGGAGCGAACAGG